UACGUAGGUGGCAAGCGUUGUCCGGAUUUAUUGGGUUUAAAGGGUGCGUAGGUGGUCUAUUAAGUCAGUGCUGAAAUCUCCCGGCUUAACCGGGAGGGUGGCAUUGAUACUGAUGGACUUGAGUAAAGUUGAGGUGGGCGGAAUUGACGGUGUAGCGGUGAAAUGCUUAGAUAUCGUCAAGAACACCUAUUGCGAAGGCAGCUCACUAAGCUUUAACUGACACUGAGGCACGAAAGUGUGGGGAUCAAACAGG
rnacentral:rRNA from 1 species